AUGCAGGAGAUGGUGGCUUUUCUCUUUGUCAUCCGUCUUUUCUUCACUUACCAUGAUCUUUUCGGUCCGGAUGAAGUUUUGCAGGUACUGGAACGUUUCAAGGCAGUUGUAGAGAGAGAGAAAAGUGAUAGCAAAGCGGUUACGAGGUAUGGUCUUCCCGGCUUGCAUGUAUAUCCUCUGCGGCUGAGAAUGACCUUUGCGUGCGGUUGGAUAGGACAUUAGACUUGGAAAAUAAAUUUUAACCAAAAACUAUACUUGGUCUUACAGCCAUGGCCAUUGAAAUGCAGUAAGUUGUCACCUAUCUCUAUGGGUAAAUGGAAUUCCCAGAAGCAUUUUACCAAUGCCAUAGCCCUUUUAACACAUUAAAAGAUAACUUUAGCAAAUUUCUAGUGUGUCUUGAUUGGGGUAAUAAGGGAAGGUAACUCCUGUAUCUGUGGAUGAGAACACAUUUACAGGAUCGAGGUUCUGUAGAAUCAGAUGGUUUGAAAAUGACGUGUUGUUUGAUUUUUGUUACCACUUGCUUGAAAAUCUUGGUAGGAGGAGGUGCAGUCACUUUUUUCAAUUUUAUACAUUCUAUAGAUCCUGUAUUCACUCACUUUUGCUCCAAAUUUUUCAAUAUGUCGCUGCAAGUAUUUUAUGGGGUUCUACAACAUUCAAGAAAUCAUUCUUUGGUUUUUCCAUUCAUCAUGUUGUAUUUGCUUUAAGCAAUGAGGUGGAACUAUAUCAAAUGAUUGAUCAAUAAACCUCAGUUUUCCAAAGAAGUUAUAUUCUUUUGAAUCCAAGUAUCUUCAAGGUUCGAGCACUCUAUUUCUACUCCAACUCUAUUGGAAGCAUCUAUUUGGAAACCUUUAAUGGAGUGAAGUGGAGUACAUUUAAAAGAGAAUCUGUGAGUGCCCAAAAGCCAUGUCCAAUCAAGAAAUUCUACUGCCACAGUUCAGCAGUGCCUUCCUUGUAUCAGCCUUUGUAAGAUUCCCUCUUCUGACAAGGCACGGUGGUAAUGAGGCUGGUGAAUUCUAA